rnacentral:tRNA from 1 species
AUUCCUGUAACGCAAUGGAUAGCGCGUUGGACUUCUAAUCCAAAGAUCGAGGGCUCGAAUCCCACCUGGGAUG